GCUAGGUUGGCAGAGCUGGCUUAAUGCAA
rnacentral:tRNA from 1 species